rfam:Ochrobactrum anthropi ATCC 49188 chromosome 2, complete sequence.
GCUUGUUCGGUUUUACUCCUCCUCCCAAAAACCGAACCCAAAGCGCGAUACUCCUCCUCCCAAUCGCGCUUUAUAGAUCCGCCCACUGCACAUUCCUCCUCCCAGUGCAGUGGGCGCUCU